GAGCUGACAUAAAGAAAAGACAGGGAGCAGAAAUUAGACCCAGCUCUGUGUGACAGAACCAUCCUGUCUGUCCUCAUUUGCCCCCAGCAUCCACAGGGAUGUCACAGCAGUGAGGGAUCACUGGAGCGCUGCUGGACCCUGUCCCUGCCCCCUACCCCCAGUCAUGCUGCCUAUACUGGGUUGGAGGUGGAGCAUAGAGCCUACUACACUGUUUCUGUGCUACCCUUAUUCUACGAUGCCCUUAUUUUGGGGCAGUUGUCAGGCAGGGAGCUAAAGUGGCUUUGCUUCACAAUGGGGGUUAAGGGCUGGCUUUUUACAGGGACUCAAGCGUGGAGAACAGAGCUGUUUGGAAAAAUGACAAUUCCACUUCAUGACAACUUUUUCUUUUUUCAUUCCACAUUGCAACAAAAACAAGAACUUUCAAAAGUUUUUGCAAAAUGAAAGUGUCGAAACGUCUGGUUUUGGAUCAGAACAGCCAGGUUUUUGUUCUCUCUCUGUAGCUCUUCCACUUCCCCCUCCCCGAGAGUCUACCCUGGACCUGAGAAACUAUCCUGUCAAAACUUGCAUAGUAAUUGAUACGUUUUCACAAUGUUUUGCUUUUGAUGCGAUGGGACUUUUCAGCAAAAAAAUGUUUAGUCAAUAACUUUCCAAACCACUGUCACAGAGAAGUAACAAGUGUGUCGUCCUGGUUAGAUCCCUUCCAUAUUUCUGACCUGGACUUUGGAACAACUGAAGAAGUGUCUACUGCCUACGAAAUCAUCCCCGGUUUUACAGUAAGUCUGAUGCAUUGUGUGUAUUGUAGUCAUUGCUGGGCAGAUGCCCAGUUUUCCCCACACACUGUAGAUGCGUCCAAUAAAAACACUUCAGUGAAGCAUUUUUUUAGUCAUAGUUCAUAAGACUGAUAAUUAGUGACUUUAAUACCAAGCUGUAGUGCAUUGAUCCAGUGAGCUUUUGGAGACGAGAAACAAUACAAAAAGGAGUAGUGCAUCUCGGAAGAUGUUCAUUAUCACAGAGCCAGCUGCCCAGGCCUUAUUAAUAAAAGCAAGACACAGGAACUCCCGCUGCAGGAAGAUAUUUGGGUGAUGGAUGACUGCUUGCAUUUCAUAUCUCAACAGCCAGGCUCUGAUCACAUUGGGACCUGGGUAUUUCUCUGCUUGACACCAUGUCUCUGAUCUUUCCCAAGCCCCCUAGAUGUGCCUGGUACUUUACGAAGCACAUGCGUUCUGCCUGCCCAAGUCACUGACAGCCUGAGUGCAGGAUACAAAAGGAGGAGGAGAGAAGAACACAAGGAAGAAAGAGAGACGGCUAAGGAACCAAGACAACACAACACCCAAGAAAACUGGAAUGCUGAUGAUGUGCCAUGGGGGAAAAUCAGCUCCAGAAAGAGGCAGGAGAGAGGUGAUCACCUUGUUAAAAAGAAAGAAUCAGUGCUGCAGGCCAAGGCUCUGCUGCCCUCUGGCUCCCAGUCCAGCACCAACAACCAGCUCUCGCCUGGGGAGGAUUCUUCACACACUUCAAUGCGGCUUCUCAAAUGGAAGAAUUCAAAGACCCCCAGAGCCUCCUCUCCACUGACAUGUAACCAUUGCUCAGGCUUUACUGGGGGCCGAUACAACAGUAAGAUAUAUCAGCAUUCACUGUCAGCAGCAAAAGGCAAGAGAGAAGCAGGGAUGUGAAGCAAUUGCCAGCUUUCUAGUCACCUGAAUAUCUAAGGACAUAGCUGCUGCAUGAACAAGUGUCUUUAUUUUAGGGGGUGGCCAACCUGAGCCUGAGAAGGAGCCAGAAUUUACCAAUGUACACUGCCAAAGAGCCACAGUAAUAUGUCAGCAGCCCCCCCGUCAGCUCCCCCAACCUGCUCCCAGCGCCUCCCACCCACCAGCAGCCCCGCCGAUCAGCACCUCCCCCUCCCUCCCUGCACCUCCUGAUUAGCUGUUUUGUGGCGUGCAGGAGGCUCUGGGGGUAGGGGGGAGGAGUGAGGGCACAGCAGGCUCAGGGGAGGGUGCGAGAAGGGGUGGAGCAGGGGCAGGGCCUGUGGCAGAGCCAGGGGUUGAGCAGUGAGCACCCCCCAGCACAUUGGAAAGUUGGCACCUGUAGCUCCAGCCCCAGAGUCGGUGCCUAUACAAGGAGCCACAUAUUAACUUCUGAAGAGCCGCAUGUAGCUCCGGGCCACCCCUGCUUUUAUUGCUACAAUGUGUGGGUUGCCAGCCAAGCCCCACUACAGGGAGGGUUAGAGAAUGAAGAGAUUCCCAACCCCACCCAUUAAUUUCCCCGAAUCCUAUUCCCAGGCAGGGAGAGUCAUAAGAAAGGGAUUGUGAAUCAUACUGCUCAGCAGCAUUAAAAGGUGAGGCCUCCCCACUCCCUCUGUACUACCCAGGCAGGAUCUGACCUACAGAGCUUUUCCCCUGAUGAGGGAUGGGUGUGUGUCAUGGUGCGAGACUCACCCCUGCGGCGCCUCCUGCUGGUAUCUCAGGGAAUUAGCUCUUCCAGCCUCCGGAGCACCCUCCGCAAGCCGGUGUCUCGCUGCCGCUGGCCCCCGUGUCCCUUCCGGACCCUGGUGCCCCUUUCCCUGGGGUGCUGCCCCCUGGCAGUGCCCCAGCAGUCUCUGGGCCUCCCAGGGGAACCCCCACCCACUGUCCCCACCUCGCCUUGGCUACUGCCAGUCAGCACUGAGCCCCCACAUACUGGGGCAGACUGCAGUGUAUAAGCUAAUCAUCACAGGCCAGGGGGGGUUGGACCUGCUGUGGGGCCUUGGAAAAAAUCCACCACUGGACAGCGGAAGCCCAGAGCCCUGGCCACCAGGCAGGUUGGGCGGGGGAAGUCCCCGCAUCCUGACCCCUCUCCCCAGCAGCAGCGCUGGACAGGCGAGGUGGGAGAAGCCCUAGCACCCCAACCCUUGCUGUGGCCCUGGGACUGGAGGAAGCUCUCACUCCCUGCUGCGCCCCGGGGCUGUGGCAUGGGGACAGAGCUUCUCCAGUCUGCAGAAAGGAGCAAAAGGGUUUGUGGGGCUCCAGUGGGGGAUGUGGAGUCGGGGGGACCCUGGGUGGAAUAGGCAGGGUCCAGGGAAGGGGUAGAAAGGGAUGGGGCUGUGGGCGGGGCCACAGGUGGAAGGGGUGGGGAGGGGCCCCCACUUGCUCUGGCCCAGGGUCCCGGGAAACCUUAAUCUGCCUCUGGGCUGCUCCUGGGGACACUCUCGGCCCAUCUAGAGAGCAGGAAGUUACUGAAAAAAGGGAAAGUGUUCAGAGGCCCAAGAGGAAACCUGUAAAAACCCAGCCCCUGGUAAAGCCCCAAUGUCCAGGAACACACCCCAGCCCAGAAGCUGCCAUGUCUGUCCUAGGCUGGGAUACAGAGUGGGAGAUUUCCACCUGCCAAAUCAGUGAAACCCAAGUGGGAGUGGAGCAUCCCCAAAGACCAGUUACCCCAAGAAGGGGGAAGAGGGCUCAAACUUCCUGCCCUGGGAAUGGCACUUAAUCCUGAGGUAACUUGGUCUGCAGACUAAAUUCUCCAAGUUAUUGGUGCCUCCCUUCUAGCCCCUUCUGAUCAUGCUGUAUCUAAAGACUGAAUGGCCAUUUGACUGAAAACCCAAUCCUCCCCUCCUUCUCUGGUCACAGUAGAUGCAGCAUCCUGUGGAUUUCCCAGUGCAACUUCGCAAAUGGGAUCUCCUCUGCCCAUUUCCCAAGUGGAUCCAACUUUUAUCUUGUGGCACCAUAGAGUUUACUUAAUAGAAAGGAGUAUUUUCCUUUCCCCAUCUCUUGCCACUGAUGCUGUUACAUGCCCUCUUUCCCAGGCUGUGCCCAGGGACCCUGGGCUGGAUCCAUCUCAGCCCGGAGCUGCUCCCUGUGCUGGGGACAGUGUGAAUGGGGACGUUUGAGGUGCAACACAAGACUGUCCCCAGUAUCCCAGCAUAAGGAAUUCUGGAGAGACUGGAAAGGUGCCACGUACCCAGCCCCAUCCCUGGUAAAAAUUUUGAGGCCUCUGGAGGUCAGGUGUGAUCAGUGGAGUGAUCUCUGCUGGAAGCCAGGGCUUGAAAUGCCCUUUCCCAUAUCCCCCUGAAGCUCAGCGGGAGCAGGGAGUGAUCUCAGCACAGAGCCCCGAGAAAGGAAAUCUAACUAGUAUAUUAGGUUGGCACCUUCAUAUCCCCUAGAGCACCGGUUCUUAACCUUUACUGCAGCCUGCACCCCUUUAGUUCUCAAAAUAUGUUCUCGCACCCCUUAUCAAAAAUUGUUGAAAUAGGUCAGUUCUUUAAACCUAGAUAUAUUUUUUGUUUGUAUAUUACAGUAAUCCUUAAAAAAUGUAUAAUGUUAAUAAAUACAUAGGUCUGAUG